UACAGAGGGUGCGAGCGUUGUCCGGAAUCACUGGGCGUAAAGGGCGCGUAGGUGGCACGACAAGUCAGUGGUGAAAGCUCGACGCUCAACGUCGAGUCGGCCACUGAUACUGUCGAGCUGGAGCACUGUAGAGGCUAAUGGAAUUCCGGGUGUAGCGGUGGAAUGCGUAGAGAUCCGGAAGAACACCGGUGGCGAAGGCGGUUAGCUGGGGCAGUUGCUGACACUCAGGCACGAAAGCGUGGGGAGCAAACAGG
rnacentral:rRNA from 1 species